UUGGAGUCAUCUGACACCCCAAUUGAAGAAUACUUUGAUGCUAUACAUACUAAAUACUCGAGUAUUCUUUAUAUUUAUUAGUACAUAAUGCAUAGUGACAACUUCAUUCAUUUUUUUCCCAUAAACAAUGGUGACAUGGUGUGAAAACGGGAGGGAAUUACAGGAAUUCCACCCAGGAAACGUAAUACCGUUACUUGUGUUUCAUGGAAAAACAAAAUUAUUGUGAUCGGAGGGGAAUAUACUCGGAUUUAUUAUCUGUCUGAGGCCCAGAUGCUUGAUUCAGAUACACUUACGUGGACGAAAUUGGUAACCAAUGGUGAGCAGUUGUCACCCAGAUCUGGUCAUACAACCAUUGUGCUCGGCAAUAACAUAUUUGGCAUUGGAGGUUUUACUGAUGCAGAAGACCUGUAUGAUGACUUAGCGGGGUCAUCUGCCAGAUUUUGUAUUUAUUGGUGGCUACAAUAUGAGUCUUGAGGCACUAGAUGACAUUAUCUACCUAUACACAGGGCGUGAUGAAAGAAAGUUGGAGAAGUUAUCUUUGAGGAAGCAGAUAAGAUUAAAAAGUGAAGAGUAGCAAUUUGGGAAUCCUAUGUUUAAUACCCGAUGAUCAGCAUGGAGACCUCUCAUAAUAGACCCAUGACAAUGCCAAGUCAUAUACAGUUUUCACGGAUUAUGAAACUUUAUAAGUGUUAAAAUAUAAUUACGUAAAAUGAAUGUAUGUUUGGAAAGUAUUUAAGCUUACGGGAUCACAUCUCAACGUGAA